rnacentral:lncRNA from 1 species
UAUAUAUAUAUAUAUAUAGGUACGUGCGUAUCUGGCUUUUUACGGCACCGAUUUCAAAGUUAAAAACUGGAACCUUUUUUUUCACAGCGUGCUCGAAGUCGGUGUGUGCAUCGUGGGACCUAAAAAGGAAACAUUUCUACUUGAUGGUAAAGCUAAAAGUUAGUUAACUUGUAGUUUUCACUACUAGCUCAUUUAAAUAUUGGUUGUAGCAACGGACGCCUACUGCAUAUAUUGGCAACUAACAAGGAUUCAUAUAAAGUAACUGUAGAAGUAAUCAAUAAGUAUUUUAACAUCAAAGUUUGUACUAAUUAGAUUCUGCAACUAGUUAAAACAUCAAAAAACUUUGUAAACCAUUUUUCACGAGAUUCAAAACAAUUUAUUGACAUCUGCAACAUGCUCUGUGCAUACCAAAUAAUAACAUCUGCUAUGGCACAAACAUCGCAAUCAAUUGCAACCUCAAUUCACAUUGCUAUAUGUUCUUCAUUUCCCUUUCAACAAAUCAGUGUUUUAUCUGUAUCAAACAGUGGUCACUUAUCUCUUUUAUCUGGUCCUGCUAUAGAAACCUCUUCUCAUGAACCACUAUCCAGUUAGAGAGCUGACUAGUUAAGUCCCAGAAAAAGGUUAUGAGAAAGAGAUUUAAUUUUUUUGUUUGAAACAGCAGUUAACAUUAAUCGAAACCAAGUUUUCUUAUCAAAAGACAAUUUUAUACCAACAACUUGCUGAAAAAAAUUAUGCAAUUCUUGUACUGCAAAAUGACAUUGAUACUGAUUUUACAGGAAGAGUUGGAGGAAAUUCAGCAAGUAACACAAAACUCAAAAACACUACUCAGCAGAUAUUAGAACACUUAUAUACGACAUGCUUGUGUGUUAAGUUCCUGGUUUCAUUCACUACACAAUUCAUUUUCUACACAAUUCUGCAAUACAAACUUCGCUACAAGGAUGCAAAAGUGAUCCAAAGGGUUUUGGGUUCUUUUUGGACCAACACGAGUUGCCCAGAAGAUUGCUACCAUGCUAUAGAGGGAACAGAAUACAUAUGCUUUUUCACACAUGUGGUACUUUGAUCUAUAAUUAUUCCAUAUUGAAGAUAUUUUUGUGUUCUGGCUUGACGUUAUGUGAAUGUCUGCAAAAUGGUUUGUUUCAAGACUUUACAUCUGAAACAGGUUUUAACUAAUAGCAUGCUAAAAGAUUGCAAUUUGCUACUGUCUUAAAGUCCUCAAGAUUAUAUUAAAUAAUUCAGUUACACAACAUGAUGAGUACUACACGCUUGCUUUGAUGUUUGUUGAUCUUCUUCAUUUCAAUAUUAAAUCGAUAUCAUUAUAUGUGGUUUCCAUCGCGUACUAAAGAUUCGACUCUUUCUAUGGAUGUCACAGUUUAAUUUACUAAAAAUAAGGCUAAAUAAAGGGCGGAAAGGCUAUGAAUGUCUUUAAAGUUCAACUAUACACUAUAGAAAACUUAGACUUGAUACAUAUUUAAUAACAAAUAUAUAUAUAUAUUUU